ACUGAGACCAAAUUUUUUACAGACAUUAAGGCAGUAGAGAGAUUUCAGCAUCAUUGUUGUGUAAAUGGCUUGGCCCUCAGAAGGACAUAUACCCGCCUCUGAAUAGCAAAACUGAGCCAUGACUUCCAGGACAAAAACUUCAGUGAUUAAUCUAAGUAGAAGAUUUAUGAGCAGCUAAAAUCCCCCAUGAAGAAAGCAUCUUCUAGCCAAGAAUUUUCUGUACCCUGCUGUCCUUAUGUUUGACUGGAAGAGAUGUGUGUGCAUUGAUUAGCCACGUUGCUGCAAGUAGCACCACCUUACUGGCUUUACCAGCAUAACAUACUCUCAAGAUUUCUAAUGGAUGUUCUGGAAUUUGAAGGCUUGUUCAGUGCUACAUUGCUGUGAUUUACCACGCUGCCUUUGUGAUUGAUACGCAUUAUUGGCAAUUUGGAGAAUGAAACAGUGCACAGAAAUGAUGAAAAUUGCUGAAUAAAAUG